rnacentral:rRNA from 1 species
GACGAACGCUGGCGGCGUGCUUAACACAUGCAAGUCGAACGGAAAGGCCCUGAUCUUGUGGGUUGCUCGAGUGGCGAACGGGUGUGUAACACGUGAGUAACCUGCACUUGUCUUUGGGAUAUCUUUAGGAAACUGGGGCUAAUACAGGGUAGGAGCUACUGAUGCACGUUGGGGGUUGGUAAGUUUCGGCGGUUCGGGCUGGACUGGCGGCUUAUGAGCUUGUUGGUGGGGUAGGGGCUUACCAGGGUUUUGAAGGGUAGGCUGCCUGAGAGGGGGAACGGCCACAUUGGUACUACGGUACGGAGCAGACUCCAACGGGACGCAGCAGUCGAGAAUAUUGCGGAAUGGGCGGAAGCCUGAUGCAGCAGCGCCGCGUGCGUGAUGACGGCCUUCGAGUUAUAAACAGCUGUCGACUUAGAUGAAGCGUUAUUGACGGUAAUGAAUAAAGAAGCACCGGCUAACUACGUG